CGUUGCUACGUUUGUGGCAGGUGGGUUUUGUUUACUGUGAUGUCUGAAACUUUUGAUUUUACUAGAGACUGAUUGUUUGUAUACGUUUAGUGUCGUGUGUGGUUGUAACCAUUCUUGGAUGAGUGAUACGCCGUGAAGACUUCGUUAUCUUUCCUGAUAUCAAAACAUGGCCGUGUCUAAGGGUCUUGGUAAUCCCAUGUUACGUGGAAUGUAAACCCAUUUGGAUGUGACUACAUUGCUGCUUUGCCUGAGUUUGUUUUAUUCCAUUUGUGUAUUUGUGUCCGUAAAGUGGCGACAGUAUUGACUCUUUGUCGGACUGCAUUCAUUUGGUGGUUUGGGCUGGGAAGUACCUACAACAACUACAUUGUCAUCUGAGUUCAGCCCUGCCUGUGACGUAUACCCAGAUGCAGGAAUUGUGGUCGCCUGUAUGAUGGAUCACCAAUGUUAUUUUCUUUUGUUAUUUUUGUAUGUGGUCUUAUGUUUAAUUGUGUAUUGAAGUUGUUCACAUCUACAAAGUGGAGAUUGCCUGAGUUUGUUUACACAAUUUGCUGUGUGGAAAUUUUGUGGUGUUUUCACGAGUGUAUUAUAUAUUAAGUGUGUGGUGACUCUCCAACCCCUGCAGGCGAUCUCCCCUUGUAGAUGUGAUUUUGUUUUUUUGUGUAAACUUCAACAAUAUCAUAUUUU